GCCAGGCAUGGUGGUGUGUGCCUGUAAUCCCAACUACUGGUGAGGCUGAGGCAGGACAAUCGCUUGAGCCCAGGAAUUCAAGGUUGCAGUGAGCAGUGACCAUGCCACUGCAUUCCAGCCUGGUCAACAGAGUGAGAACCUGUCUUAA
rnacentral:SRP_RNA from 2 species